rnacentral:lncRNA from 1 species
UUGAGCUGGUUGUAAGACACGUUGAACUGGACCAGGUUGGGAAAGUCGAGGACCGGGAUCUCGCCCGUUAGCCGGUUGUUUUCGAGGUAGAGCGUACCGAGGCGGGAGAGGUUGUUGAGCGCCAACGGGAUCCCGCCGGUGAACUUGUUACCGGCUAGAUUGAGGCGGACGAGGUUCUUGAGGGAGGAGACGAAGGGCGGGAUCUCGCCGGAGAAGUCGUUGCCCUGGAGGUAAAGGUUCCGGAGCUCGGUGAGGCCGGCGAGCUCCGGAGGGAGAGGUCCGGAGAGCGCGUUGAACCGAAGGCUGAGGGUGUGGAGGGCGGUAAGGUUGCCGAGGGCGGCGGGGAUCUGCCCGAUGAGGCCGGCGCCAGGUAGGCGGAGCUCGUCGACGCGGCCGGACUCGCAAGCGACACCCUGCCAGGAACACGGCGCGCCAGGGGCGGAGGAGUUCCACGUCGGCAGCGCCGACCGGCCGACGGCUUCGCGGAAGGCGAGUAGAGCCGCGGCGUCAGCCGCCAGAUCCGGGGCCCCGCCGGGGAGGCAAGCCAGCAGCAGGAUGGCGCUGGCGAGGAGGCGGAGCCAGACC